rnacentral:rRNA from 1 species
AACGAACGCUGGCGGCAGGCCUAACACAUGCAAGUCGAGCGAGGACUUCGGUCCCAGCGGCGGACGGGUGAGUAACGCGUGGGAACGUGCCCCUUGGUACGGAAUAGCCCCGGGAAACUGGGAGUAAUACCGUAUGAGCUCUACGGAGGAAAGAUUUAUCGCCAAGGGAUCGGCCCGCGUUGGAUUAGGUAGUUGGUGGGGUAAUGGCCUACCAAGCCGACGAUCCAUAGCUGGUUUGAGAGGAUGAUCAGCCACACUGGGACUGAGACACGGCCCAGACUCCUACGGGAGGCAGCAGUGGGGAAUCUUAGACAAUGGGCGCAAGCCUGAUCUAGCCAUGCCGCGUGAGCGAUGAAGGCCUUAGGGUUGUAAAGCUCUUUCAGCUGGGAAGAUAAUGACUGUACCAGCAGAAGAAGCCCCGGCUAACUCCGUGCCAGCCGCCGCCGUAA